UUAAGCAGGCUCAAUGCCCAGUGCAGAGCCCCGACUUGGGGCUCGAUCCCACAACCAUGAGAUCACGACCUGAGCCAAAAUCAAGAACUGGACCCUCAACCAACUAAGCUACCCAGGCGUCCCUUUGUCUUCGGUGUGGAUAGGCAUUAGCCCAUUCUGUCUGGACCUAAACAUAAACGUCACGACUUAAGCAGCUGAAAGGCCGUGGAUAGAAGAACAGCAAAUAAAUACAAGGAGCAACCUUAUCUUAAAAGUCCUGGAUCCUUUCAAAGCCUUCCAAAGCCACAUGGAUCUCCUUAAUACUAAGAAUUCAGCCGAUCAAAGGGAUGCCUCACCAACAGGAUGAAAUAACACACACCAAACUGUUGACAAUUGCCCCAGCUCCCUAUAUAAUUGGACCUCGAGAGGGGCUGGACCAAGCAAAAGACACCAACCAGCACCUGGAAACUGUGAAAUACAAAUUCAGUUCGAAGAAAGAAAACACCAUCAGUUCUCCCAAUAUUGUUUAUCUUUUUAGAAUAGCCGUCCUUAUUCUGGACUUGAUCGUCCUCUUCUCUUUAGAAUCACACACAGACUUGACCAAGGGUCUCCAUCUGACCCUUGUUGGUAAAUAAGAGUGUGGUAGAAAACCCUUUCUUGUGGUGGAGAAAGGAUUCCCACACUUUUAGGUGACCAGUUGUCUACGAUUUAUCCAUUGGGAAACUCUGAUUUCAGGUGAUCCCUCUAACUGCUUUUGCACUGAAAGUAAAACCCUUUGACCCAUUUUACGCCAUGUUAGGAAAAUUCUGAAUUAUCCCACAUCCACCCUAUAAAAGGACUCAACUGCCUGAUUUACAAUCGCAAAUAACCAAUUUUCCUAGAGAAAAUGUGUUGUCUCACAUACAAAGACAGUCUCCCCUCCACCAAGAAAUCCUGGAGAUACUUCAAAAUCAACCCCUCCAACACCACACUCCUCCUUCUCCACCCGAAACCCACACUUCGCCUGGUUCCCUCCGUGGGGGUUCCCACCCAGUUCCCAGUAAAGAAGUCACCUCGCCCUCCCUCUUUUUCCUUCUCCCUCUCCGUCAGCAUCCGUGGUGCCACCAAGUCCAUUCCACUCUCUGCCACGUCAUCUCUCAGCUCUGCCGGAGUCCUGUCCUCUGUCCUCUGGGUCAGGCUCCUCACAGCUCUCACUUGCAUUAUGACUCAAGCAUCACCCCACUUCGGGAGCUGGCCAGCCCCUUGCUCCCAACCACUUGCUACACCACAGGCACAGUGGAAGUUUAUAUUGCAAACGUGAUUGUGUCUCCCCAGCAGUGACGUGUCUGUGUCUCCUUAACGCCAACAGGACCAUUACUGUGGCCCCCGGGACGCUGCAGGGGAAGUGCCUGCUGGCAUCCACAGCCUCCCUCUCUGAACCUGAUCCGUCCCCUCCCCCACACCUUUCCCCACCUCAAGCACACCACACUCUCUUUCUCCUUCAGGUCCCCUCUGCCUGACACCCUGCCCAUGUCCCCAUAUCUGUCUCACUCCACAUCUCCCCCUGUACGUGAGUGUGCCUGCCUUUUCCCACAGGGGACAUGCCCACGGGUCCUGACCAUUUCU